UACGAGUGGUGCAAGCGUUAUUCGGAAUCAUUGGGCGUACAGGGUGUGUAGGCGGUAUGUUAAGUCUGUUGUUAAAGACUCCGGCCUAACCGGAGAUGGGCAGCAGAAACUGGCGUACUAGAGGGUGGAAAAGAGAAGUGGAAUUCUCGGUGUAGCGGUAAAAUGCGUAGAUAUCGAGAGGAACACCGAUGGCGAAGGCAGCUUCUUGGUCCAUACCUGACGCUGAGACACGAAAGCGUGGGGAGCAAACAGG
rnacentral:rRNA from 1 species